rnacentral:misc_RNA from 1 species
UUUCCGUAGGUGAACCUGCGGAAGGACCAUUAAAGAGAAUAUGCCCUUCGGGGUAGAUCUCCCACCCUUUGUUUAUAUUACCUUCGUUGCUUUGGCAGGCCCGUCUUCGGACCACCGGCUUCGGCUGGUCAGUGCUUGCCAGAGGACCCAAAACUCUUAUUAUUAAUGUCGUCUGAGUACUAUAUAAUAGUUAAAACUUUCAACAACGGAUCUCUUGGUUCUG